rnacentral:rRNA from 1 species
GGUGCUUACCAUGCAGUCGACGAUGAAGCCCAGCUUGCUGGGCGGAUUAGUGGCGAACGGGUGAGUAACACGUGAGUAACCUGCCCUUGACUCUGGGAUAAGCCCGGGAAACUGGGUCUAAUACCGGAUAGGAACGCCUAUCGCAUGAUGGGUGUUGGAAAGAUUUUUCGGUCAUGGAUGGACUCGCGGCCUAUCAGCUUGUUGGUGAGGUAAUGGCUCACCAAGGCGACGACGGGUAGCCGGCCUGAGAGGGUGACCGGCCACACUGGGACUGAGACACGGCCCAGACUCCUACGGGAGGCAGCAGUGGGGAAUAUUGCACAAUGGGCGAAAGCCUGAUGCAGCGACGCCGCGUGAGGGAUGACGGCCUUCGGGUUGUAAACCUCUUUCAGUAGGGAAGAAGCGAAAGUGACGGUACCUGCAGAAGAAGCACCGGCUAACUACGUGCCAGCAGCCGCGGUAAUACGUAGGGUGCGAGCGUUAUCCGGAAUUAUUGGGCGUAAAGAGCUCGUAGGCGGUUUGUCACGUCUGUCGUGAAAGUCCGGGGCUUAACCCCGGAUCUGCGGUGGGUACGGGCAGACUAGAGUGCAGUAGGGGAGACUGGAAUUCCUGGUGUAGCGGUGGAAUGCGCAGAUAUCAGGAGGAACACCGAUGGCGAAGGCAGGUCUCUGGGCUGUAACUGACGCUGAGGAGCGAAAGCAUGGGGAGCGAACAGGAUUAGAUACCCUGGUAGUCCAUGCCGUAAACGUUGGGCACUAGGUGUGGGGACCAUUCCACGGUUUCCGCGCCGCAGCUAACGCAUUAAGUGCCCCGCCUGGGGAGUACGGCCGCAAGGCUAAAACUCAAAGGAAUUGACGGGGGCCCGCACAAGCGGCGGAGCAUGCGGAUUAAUUCGAUGCAACGCGAAGAACCUUACCAAGGCUUGACAUGUUUUCGAUCGCCGUGGAGACACGGUUUCCCCUUUGGGGCGGAUUCACAGGUGGUGCAUGGUUGUCGUCAGCUCGUGUCGUGAGAUGUUGGGUUAAGUCCCGCAACGAGCGCAACCCUCGUUCCAUGUUGCCAGCACGUCGUGGUGGGGACUCAUGGGAGACUGCCGGGGUCAACUCGGAGGAAGGUGAGGACGACGUCAAAUCAUCAUGCCCCUUAUGUCUUGGGCUUCACGCAUGCUACAAUGGCCGGUACAAUGGGUUGCGAUACUGUGAGGUGGAGCUAAUCCCAAAAAGCCGGUCUCAGUUCGGAUUGGGGUCUGCAACUCGACCCCAUGAAGUCGGAGUCGCUAGUAAUCGCAGAUCAGCAACGCUGCGGUGAAUACGUUCCCGGGCCUUGUACACACCGCCCGUCAAGUCACGAAAGUCGGUAACACCCGAAGCCGGUGGCCUAACCCUUGUGGGGGAGCCGUCGAAGUGACACGC